CCUACGGGUGGCAGCAGUGAGGAAUAUUGGUCAAUGGACGAAAGUCUGAACCAGCCAAGCAGCGUGAAGGAUGAAUGCGCUCUGGGUUGUAAACUUCUUUUAUAUGGGAAUAAAAUGUUCCACGUGUGGGAGAAUGUAUGUACCAUAUGAAUAAGGAUCGGCUAACUCCGUGCCAGCAGCCGCGGUAAUACGGAGGAUCCGAGCGUUAUCCGGAUUUAUUGGGUUUAAAGGGAGCGUAGGUGGAUUGUUAAGUCAGUUGUGAAAGUUUGCGGCUCAACCGUAAAAUUGCAGUUGAAACUGGCAGUCUUGAGUACAGGAGAGGUAGGCGGAAUUCGUGGUGUAGCGGUGAAAUGCUUAGAUAUUACGAAGAACUCCGAUUGCGAAGGCAGCUCACUGGACUGCAACUGACGCUGAGGCUCGAAAGUGUGGGUAUCAAACAGGAUUAGAUACCCUUGUAGUC
rnacentral:rRNA from 1 species